rnacentral:lncRNA from 1 species
AUUAACAAUCAUGAUAUUAUAAAUUGGAAUAAGCUUUCAAGCCAAUACAAAAGAGAUAUGAUUGGAUAUAUUUUGUAAACAAUCCUAUUUGAAGUUUAACACAUCAAUAAAGGCAUCAUUCAUCCCAUAAUGUGCCAUGUCUUUCUAUACUUCCUUAUUGGAUCAAUUAACUGGACCAUGGCAGAGGCGGCCCAAAAGGUCCUGGAGGCCCGUAAAAGCCCAUUAGGCCCCUAAAACAGUCUUGCAGUAACCAGCAACAGCAGAAGAAACUCAGGCUGCACAAAUUAAAAUAUGCAAAACAUUAAGUUGAGGUCAAUAACAACAAGCUUAAGCAUCAAAAAUUUGAUGGUGAGUAAUAUUUUAACAUUCAAUAAUAACAAGCUUAUACAAAAACACCCAAAUAAAAACAAAGCAAAACCAAAUUGUUUUCUAGUUCAAUGAUUUUAUUUAUUUAUUUUCCUCAAAGAUUCAAAAAUAUCCGAAAAACUCAAAUUUUGAAAUAUGGAAGAAAAAUAUUAGUUUCAAAAUGACUUACCAAGAACCUAUAAAAUCACAUAAACCGCCAAAGAAGCCACAAGGUCCUGGCAUUGGGGGUCCUCUGGGACUUAGGGGAGGACCCCAUCUAGGUCCGGGUCCUCCUGGUCCCAUAAUUUCACCUAGGCUAAAUUAACCAAACCUAACCAAGUCUUAUACUAACAAUCACAAUAUGUUGGAACAGCUUUAG